ensembl:lncRNA
CAACAUGUAAAUAAAAAUGUAAAAUCUAAAAUAAAAGCGAUGUGAGUGGGAACAAAACCCACGCCGCUCGGGUGUUUCUGUGACACCUGUUUGAGCCUAGAGCUGACCCGCUCACAGCACCGUGCUCACGUGCGGCUGGAGCAUCAGCACCCACCUGUUCAACCUGGGCUCAUUUAAAGGGAGUUUCGGUGGGAGGAGGAGGGUGAGAGUGCGUGGGAGUGGAAGGAAAAGUUUCUCCACGACCACCAGACUGCAUCGCGCUCGUGCAUUUUGAUAAAUGGGCUUGUCGUACCUGAUCAGAUGCAAUAAACGUGGAGACGAACCCUCGCGCUUGUGCGAAAACGUGACGGACAGCGACACCAACAGGCGGGUUUAGGAAGCACACCCUGCCCUGCUCCCACCGGCGGUUAAGUGUAGAUGCAUUUAAGGACGAGCUGCUGGAAAUAAUAGAGGGCCUUCAGAGCAGGAUCGAUGCCACAGCCUGCGCCAUCUUCUGCAACUGGAAGCUCUCGCCAGCGUCUCCAGAAUACACAAUCAGUCUUUGUUAGCUUGUGGUCCCAAGUCUGGAUAAAUGGGGUGGUUGUGUUGUGUCAGUGAGGGCAUCUGGCAGCAUGUGGUUUCAUGUCUGUGGUGACCGCCUGGAGAUAAAGCAGCAGCUGAAAGUGUGGAGCACAUGAAAAGAAGGUAAGUGGACUUCCUUUGGUUCAUAAAGCUGUUUCAGCUCUCAUGCAGAGGUUUCCUCAAGUCCAAAACAACUGAUGAAGAGUCCCAGGUAACCUCGUGGUCGUCCUCGGGUGCUCGACCCUCAUUGAUCAUCCUCUGCUCCGGUCCCAGUACCACAGAUUUUAUCAUGAGACAGUAAACGUGAGGCCACAGACACGUUACUACACAUGCGCCCUCGCAGUUCACUGUCAGGGUGAGGAGUCAGUCACACAGAGACACACAACCAUUCACACCUACAGAUGAUGCAGAGUGACCAGUUACCCACCAGUUUGGACUGUGGGAGGAAGGACGCUGUAUUUAAAUGAAAUCUGAAAAUCAGUGAUGACUCCAGCACCCCCAGUUUGCACCUGCGGGGACAAAUCAGUGCAUUAGAGGUGGCGUCUGCUUCAUGAACUGUGCUGAGCACCCUCUGUUGGAGUAAAAUAGCACCGCAGCCUGUUUAAGGAGAGCGCGGCACACCUGCUCCUCAUCACUUGUUGCCGUCCUGCAGUAUUUAAGGAGCGGCUCCUCUGCCAGGUUGCUGUAGCAGUGGAAGCUCUCUCGUUCCUCACCUCAGCCUGUGAGGAAACCUGCUGCAC